CCCGCCAGCGAAUGGCAUCUGCGGAACCAGAACCGCGAAAGUGGCGGGAGCGCUUGAAGAAGCUCGCAGUGUUGUUGUGCGCGGUGAAAACCUGCAAAGCGCAAAGGGUAAACAAAUCUUGGCAUAGGCCGACGGGAACAACACUCCCGCCGGUUUUUG
rnacentral:sRNA from 12 species